AACCGACACAGGNGGUCAGGUAGAGAAUACCAAGGCGCUUGAGAGAACUCGGGUGAAGGAACUAGGCAAAAUGGUGCCGUAACUUCGGGAGAAGGCACGCUGACACGUAGGUGAAGUGAUUUACUCAUGGAGCUGAAGUCAGUCGAAGAUACCAGCUGGCUGCAACUGUUUAUUAAAAACACAGCACUGUGCAAACACGAAAGUGGACGUAUACGGUGUGACGCCUGCCCGGU
rnacentral:rRNA from 1 species